rnacentral:misc_RNA from 1 species
GAUGAAGAACGUAGCGAAAUGGGAUACUUGGUGUGAAUUGCAGAAUCCCGUGAACCAUCGAGUCUUUGAACGCAAGUUGCGCCCGAAGCCAUUAGGCCGAGGGCACGCCUGCCUGGGCGUCACACGUCGUUGCCCCCCCAUCUACUCCUUCGGGAUUGCGGGGGGCGGAUGAUGGCCUCCCGUGCGCCUUGUCGCGCGGUUGGCAUAAAUGCCAAGUCCUCGGCGACGCACGCCACGACAAUCGGUGGUUGCGAAACCUCGGUUGCCCGUCGUGUGCGGUCGUCGCGCAUCGAGGGCUCGAAAAAAUUGCCGGGCUCCGGCUCGGCUUUCAACGCGACCCCAGGUCAGGCGGGGUUACCCGCUGAAUUUAAGCAUAUCAAUAAGCGGAGGA